rnacentral:rRNA from 1 species
AAGACCUUGCGCUUUUGGAGCGGCCGAUGCCUGAUUAGCUUGUUGGUAAGGUAAAAGCUUACCAAGGCUUCGAUCAGUAGCUGGUCUGAGAGGACGGCCAGCCACACUGGGACUGAGACACGGCCCAGACUCCUACGGGAGGCAGCAGUGGGGAAUUUUGGACAAUGGGGGCAACCCUGAUCCAGCCAUGCCGCGUGAGUGAAGAAGGCCUUCGGGUUGUAAAGCUCUUUCAGCCGGAACGAAACGGUUACGGUUAAUACCCGUGAUUACUGACGGUACCGGAAGAAGAAGCACCGGCUAACUACGUGCCAGCAGCCGCGGUAAUACGUAGGGUGCGAGCGUUAAUCGGAAUUACUGGGCGUAAAGCGCGCGCAGGUGGUUUUGUAAGUCAGAUGUGAAAGCCCCGGGCUCAACCUGGGAACU